rnacentral:rRNA from 1 species
CAGCAGUGGGGAAUUUUGCACAAUGGGCGAAAGCCUGAUGCAGCGACGCCGCGUGCGGGAAGAAGGCCCUCGGGUUGUAAACCGCUUUCAGCAGGGAAGAAGGGAUGAGCGCUAAUAUCGCUCUGACUUGACGGUACCUGCAGAAGAAGCUCCGGCUAAUUUCGUG